CCUGGUGAGGUCCAGCAUCCCUCUCUGCAUCUUAGGACCCAAGCCUCUUUCUUUCUCUCAUCAGACAGAAGAUUGGACCCCACAGUGGAGUCCCCCCAACUCCUGACAGUCUCUUGGGGUCUUUAAUAUUUCACUCCUUGUCUGAUUUGAUCAGCAGAAUAAGAGUAAAUAGAUGGGCAUGGUGGCAUACAUCUGUAAUCCCAGUGACGGGGAGGAUGAGGCAGGAGAAUUAAAGUUCAAGGCCAAUCUGGGAAACUAAGUGAAGCGCUGUCUCAAACAAAAAAUAAAAAUACUAGGGAUAUACCUCAGUGGUGGAGUGCCCCUGGGUUCAAUCCCCACUAUAACCCCCACAUUUCUUUCUGGGGGCAGCCAAAGCCGUAGUGGAAUUUAGGAACCUUACUUUUGUUAUACUUACUGUGACCUUAGGCAAAUCACUGUCUAAGCCUUGGUUCCUUAUUUGUGAAAUAGACAUGGGAUCCAAUCCUAUAGACAUGGGAUGCUUGUAUUUCCAACCAUUUCCCAGGUAAUUCUAGACUGUGUGCAGUUGAGAACAGGGAAUAUGUCUGAAUCAUCUGCAUAGUCACAGCAGGAGCUCAAAAAUAUCUGCUGAAUGAGCAAAUGCCUCUUGGAAAGGAGAACUAAUAAAACAGUACUCUGCAAAUCAAGAGAGUUUUGCCUAGGGGUGGGAGACAGAAAGACCACAGCAUUUAUAGAUAAGCCCCUUGUUUUUUAAGAACAAUAAUAUUAAUAGAAAUUAGUAAUUAGACAAGAUAUGUCUUCAAGAUUGAGGAUAGUGGUAAGUCUAGAUCCUUUUGACACAGGGAAGGAGAGGGCUUUAAUGAGGGCUUUGUGAGGACACUGGAGUCUUCUUGAAAAAGUUUGGCAGUGGGGGAAAUGGAAAACAGUCCUUAAGAGUGAGGGGUGCUGGGUAUGUCUGCCUAUAGUCUAAGCUACUUGGGAGGCUGCAGCAAGAGGAUCAUUUGAGCCUUGGAGUGUUUUUUGUUUUGUUUUGUUUGUUUUGUUUUUGUUUUGUACCAGGGAUUGAACCCAGGAACAGUUAUCCACUUAGCCCCAGCACCGCCCCCCCUUUUUUUUUAAUGAGACAAGGUCUUGCUAAGUUGCUUAGGGUCUUACUAAGUUGCUGAGGCUGGUCUUAAAUUUGACUUGCAAUCCUCCUGCCUUAAGCUCCCAAGCCACUGGGAUUACAGGCAUACACCACUGCUCCUAACCUAAGGGAAAAAAAAAUUUUAAUUGAGAAAAUUGAGGAUGGUCAUGGUGGUGCACACCUGUACUCCCAAUGACUCAGAAGGCUGAAGCAGGAGUAUCGCAAAUUCAAGACCAGCCUAGUCAACUUUGUGAGACCCUGUCUCAAAAAUAAAAAGGGGUAAGGAUGUAGCUCAGUGGUAGACCACCUCUGAAUUCAAUCCCCAGUACUAAAAGAAAGAAAAAAUAUAUAUAGGUGUGAGUAUGUGUGUAUGUGUAUCACAGCAGCAAAUACUGGGAUUCAGAACCCAUCCCAGCCCUCUUCAUAGAAGGGGCAGGAAGAGAAGGGGGUGAGGAACAGACAUUAACCUGAAAGGUUAGGGAGUCUGCCUUGAUCUUGACUCCAGGGCAGAAAAAUAGGGGUCUUCUAUAGGAAUGAGAGGGCAGGACUUGAAGAGAGAAGAGAGCAAGGAGAGCCAUUGCUGGGUAAAUUUCUUCUGAAAUCACAUCUUACCAUUUUUUGUGAACUCUCAGCUGAGUCUCCUAAUCCCCUUGGGAGCCUCAUGAGAACCCCAGUGCACUAAGGGGUGGGAGAUUUCCAGGGUUAAGCAGAGAUCACUGCUGCUGAGCCUAGCGUACCCCCUGACACCCUGCCCCAUGCUUUAUACUUGCCUCUGUCCCCCCAGGUUCCCCUUCUACUUUGAGCUCAAGAUUGCCUUUGUGAUAUGGCUUCUGUCCCCUUACACCAAGGGCUCCAGCGUACUCUACCGCAAGUUUGUGCACCCAACACUAUCCAACAAGGAGAAGGUUUGGCCCCAUUCAGCUUGCUUCCCAGCCUCCCCAAGCCAAGGCAGCCCUGCACCUGCAGCCACACAACCCUGUGCCAUACAUUCCUGGCCCUCCCUUUAGGUCUCCAGAACCUAAAGUGACCUGGCAAUGCCCCAGCCUCCUGGAGUGAGCAAAGAGCAGGGCCUCCACAGCAGUACCCGCCCCUGACCUCUUCCUCCUUCCCUUUAAAUCUCUCAGGAGAUCGAUGAGUACAUCACACAGGCCCGGGACAAGAGCUACGAGACCAUGAUGAGAGUGGGCAAGAGAGGCCUGAACCUGGCUGCCAAUGCCGCUGUCACAGCUGCUGCCAAGGUGAGAUGGGGUGGGCCCGGACUUCAAGGACCCCCACCUUGUUUGUCUCCUGCUCCUGGCCAGUCCCUUGGCAUCCACCCUAUCCUCAGGGCCAUGGAGACUUUGGUCUUGUGCAGCUUGGGCUACCAGUCCUAGCUCUGUGUCCAGCCAAGUCACUUCUGCUGUCCAGCCACAGUUUCCUCAGCUGACCACAGGGAAAGUAUGACCCGGCCUCUCAGUGAGCCUGGGUAAGGACAGUGCGGGGAAAGCACUGAGCCCAGGAGCUGCUGCCAGCACCAUGGUGACCUUUGUCUCAAACCCACCCCCACACCCCUGCUGUCUUGGUGUGUGGUGGUGACCCUAGGGCCAGGGGGUGCUGUCAGAGAAGCUCCGGAGCUUCAGCAUGCAGGACCUGACGCUGAUCCGAGACGAGGAUGCACUGCCUCUGCAGGGAACUGAAGGCCGCCUCCGAACUGCCCCUGGUGGCCUUCUAGACACCAUUGAGGACUUAGGUACAGGCAGGGGUCAGGGCCAUGGGGGAGGAACAGGGUGGAGGAAGCCAGGUGGGAGACCCUGGACCUUUGUUCUCCUUUCCUCCCCAUCAACCAGCUGAUGAGGCUGCCCUGAGUAUAAGGUCUAGCACAAACCAGACAGAUCCCCGGACAGAGACCUCAGAGGAUGACAUGGGAGACAAGGCCCCCAAGAGGGUCAAAUCCAUCAAAAAAGUGCCCAAAACUGAGGUGAGAGCAUGGGCCAGAGCUUGAGGAAGUGGAGAAGGGGUGGUGGCACUGGUCUGAGUCCUGUCUUCUUCUACACUCCACAGCCACUGGCUUCCAAGACACUAAAGACCAGGCCUAAGAAGAAGAGCUCUGGCGGGGGUGACUCAGCUUGAGGCCCCAUGCCCCCACACUGCGGAGCAAAGAGGGAGCCCAAGGAAGGGGCCACAGCCCUAGCCCCUGCUCUAUACUGUGCCAUCAGCCUAGGUGUCUCAGGCUCUGGGGCUCCCUCAGAUACUCGUUCCUGAGACCCACCCAGUGGCCACUCCUCUGGAGGGGGCUUGGAAAAGAGAAGAGAGGCCCAGCUGUGCGGGUUGUGGGUAGAGGUGGCCCCAGAGCUGAGCACUGAGCUCCCAAGGAGGGGAGGGCUCCUCAGCCCACACUGCUCUUCUCCCCACUCCAGUCCUGCCCUGCCCAUCCAGUGCCUUGCUGAAGACCAUGGCCAUCCCCUUCUUUGAGGCCCUGACAUGCCCCCCUGUUCUCCCCAGGAUGAGGGUUAGGGACAGUCACAGCCAGAUGUACCAAGGAAGGGGCCUGAAGGCACUGGGAGAAAGGGAGCAAAUAGGACAGGCCUUGAGGGACCUGGAUGGGGCUUCUAGACACAGCUUUUGAGUGAAGGACAUGAAUUUUGUGUGGAUUUAAAUGACUGAGAUGCCCUGAUCAGAGCUGCAUCUGGUAAGGCUGUGUGCUACAUGUCCCCCCUGAAAAAAGAGGGUAGGGUUCGGUGUGUGAGUGUUGAGUGUUAUUUUACUGGGUCUAGAGCUGGGGCCAGUUUGGGUUAAGGACUCUCCCUCUAGUGCUCACCUCCUUCCACUCUCAGCCCUGGUCUUUCCCCCUCUUCACUGUCCCUGCUAGUCUCUGAGCCUCAGAGGAUCCCAGCCCAGGUCAGGAUGGGGCUCUAAGGGACCUCUCUGCUCCCCCUCUAUCCUUGAUCCUUUUUGCCUCACCUACUCCUGUCCUGACUUCCUAGACCUCAGUCACUGCAGAAGCCCCGCUGAGCUGGCUCCUUCCUCUUCCCACUGGGUCCUUCUUUGCCCCAGGGUCCCAUUCUUAAGCCAAGCAGACCCCUGUCAGAGCCCAGCUCCAACCCUACCCCACCUCCCAUUUCUGCGUGGCUUCCAUCAGGGCCAAGAGGAACCUGUGACAAAAGAAAUGCAGGAGCAGAAGGACUCUCAAUUCUUUGUAAAGAUAGUGCCCAUUGGACCUUUGGCACUAGAUGAGCCAAUAAACCAAAUUCUGGCACCUCACUUA
rnacentral:lncRNA from 1 species